rnacentral:rRNA from 1 species
AGAGUUGAUUAUGGCUCAGGACGAACGCUGGCGGCGUGCCUAAUACAUGCAAGUCGAGCGGAAAUUUAUUGGUGCUUGCACCUUAAAAUUUAGCGGCGGACGGGUGAGUAACACGUGGGUAACCUACCUUAUAGAUUGGGAUAACUCCGGGAAACCGGGGCUAAUACCGAAUAAUAUUUUUAAACACAUGUUUGAAAGUUGAAAGACGGUUUCGGCUGUCACUAUAAGAUGGACCCGCGGCGCAUUAGCUAGUUGGUGAGGUAACGGCUCACCAAGGCAACGAUGCGUAGCCGACCUGAGAGGGUGAUCGGCCACACUGGGACUGAGACACGGCCCAGACUCCUACGGGAGGCAGCAGUAGGGAAUCUUCCACAAUGGACGAAAGUCUGAUGGAGCAACGCCGCGUGAGUGAAGAAGGAUUUCGGUUACGUAAAACUCUGUUGCAAGGGAAGAACAAGUAGCGUAGUAACUGGCGCUACCUUGACGGUACCUUGUUAGAAAGCCACGGCUAACUACGUGCCAGCCGCCGC